rnacentral:tRNA from 1 species
GUGGGUAUAGCUCAGUGGUAGAGCACAUGCUUAGCAUGCACAAGGUCCUGGGUUCAAUCCCCAGUACCUCUG